rnacentral:rRNA from 2 species
UGGGCGGUUUGCUGCUCGCGACGUCGAAAGAAGUCCACUGAACCUUAUCAUUUAGAGGAAGGAGAAGUCGUAACAAGGUUUCCGUAGGUGAACCUGCGGAAGGAUCAUUG